GGACACUUCCUCAUCCGUGAUGGCAAUCUGAUUCCUGAGCGACCGUGAUAGCAGAGGAGAGACUUCUCCCAGAUCACUUUGCUGAGGAGAUUGGGGUAAUAGAAAUUUCAACUGGAAGCUGGGACACCAGUUCAGAAGCUACUCAUUAAUUCAGAACAAGCGAACCCUGUAAAGAACAUAAGCUUCAGGCUCAGCUUAAGCGAAAACCUGUAGGUGGAGAUAAAGUAGAAACCAGCACUCCAUUGGAUCUUUCGCUCCCUGAUCUGUUUGAAAAGCAGACAUGUUUGGACAGUGGUACUUAAUGAGAUCAUUUCUGUUACUGUUUGUGAAGGGCUCAGCUUUGCCUUGUUCUCCUCUGGGCCUUAAGAACUUGGACAUUUUAGAAUGCUUUUUAAAAUUAAAUACAGGUUUUCCGUUGCUUUGAUGCAGUACAAGGGGACAGCAAAAAAGCCCACUAAAAUUACUUUUAGAACUAUACCUGAGCAGGGAUACCUGGGUGGCUCAGUCGGUCGAGCGUCCGACUUCGGCUUAGGUCACGAUCUCACUGUUUGAGCCCCUUGUCCACUCUGCUGACAGCUCAGAGCCUGGAGCCUGCUU